CAGCCGCCACGGGAAAACGUAGGGUGCAAGCGUUAUCCGGAAUUAUUGGGCGUAAAGAGCUCGUAGGCGGUUUGUCGCGUCUGCUGUGAAAACUGGAGGCUCAACCUCCAGCCUGCAGUGGGUACGGGCAGACUAGAGUGCGGUAGGGGAGAUUGGAAUUCCUGGUGUAGCGGUGGGAUGCGCAGAUAUCAGGAGGAACACCGAUGGCGAAGGCAGAUCUCUGGGCCGUAACUGACGCUGAGGAGCGAAAGCGUGGGGAGCGAACAGGAUUAGAUACCCCCGUAGUCCCUGUCUCUUAUAC
rnacentral:rRNA from 1 species